rnacentral:lncRNA from 1 species
CGCGCCCAGCACCGUGAGCAGCGUGCUGCGAAGGCCCAGCGCGGCGAACAGCGUGGCGCCCAGCGCUGCCAUGUAGAGCAGCGCGGGCCGGGACGGCGCUUCUUCGCAGCGCAGCAGGCGCCCGCACGCCGCGCCGCCCCGCAGCAGCGCGCUUCCCGCCAACGCCAGCGCCGAGCCCAGAGACCAGAGCAGCGCGAACUUGCGCGCGCGCAGCAGCAACACCGUUUCGGCCACAGGCCUGGCAACAUCCUUGACUCCUUCGCGCCCCUUGUCCAAGACUCGGUGCUGCUGUCCCAUGUGUUUGGUGUCACUCUCGUGCUCUGGACAGCGCCACGCCCAGGUGUCCUGACUCAUCGUCACAUCACUCUGACAAGCUGGCUCGCACGCAGGUCAAUCCUGAUCUGUUCCCAGGCCGCACCCACGUGCCCUGCUGUUUCUCAGAGCCUCCUAGAGGGUGUUUGCUUGUGGUUCCUCUCACAGCCCUUCAACCAGGCCUUCGUUCCACCGUGCCAGCAAAAUUGUUCAUCACAAA